rnacentral:lncRNA from 1 species
AUGGAGAUAGGUUAUUGGGAGAGGGACAAUGCAUACAACAGACUCCCAGUGACUGAGUGGGUAGCUAUGGGGUUGGGAAAGGGAGAAAAGAAAAACACAAAAAUUGGAACCCACAGCUAUAUCUACGUGUCUCCUGUUUCAUGCAAGUGAUAAAAAAGGUAGAUGUCUGCGGAGAAGAGGAGUGCCUGCUCCCUCUCCCUGUUGGCUUCCUCCUCCCCACCUUGUCCUGCCAAUCAGCUGAGAGACUGACUCCACACAGCUUUAUCUCACCUCAAGGAAAUGCUAACAUACGCCAUCAGGCCAGCACACCAUUGACAGAGAAGUGAGGAGCAAGUGGUUCAGCAGUUCAGUAAAUAUGGCGGUCAACCUGAAACACUCUGCCCACUUGAGGAAGACUUGACUGUCAUCUGCACCCCGCAAGACAUGCAGAUGUUCUGCACAUUGCCUUCCUGCUCCUUCUGCGACCACAGGGAGAGGAAGCACGGCUGCUGCAAGAGCUGCCAAAAGGCAGGGAGCAAGAGCUAAUUCCACAACAAGAGCAAGCUCACAGUCGGUGAUCUCAGUGUCAGAGUCCCACUCUACCCUCUUGGGAUCCUAUGUAUCUGAGCUGCUCUAUGUUUAAUCAUCAUCAUGUCACCAUCAAAAAUAUUUAUUAAACCGCUGCAUACAUA